rnacentral:misc_RNA from 1 species
GAUGAAGAACGCAGCGAAAUGCGAUAAGUAGUGUGAAUUGCAGAAUUCAGUGAAUCAUCGAAUCUUUGAACGCACAUUGCGCCCCUUGGUAUCCCGAGGGGCAUGCCUGUUCGUGCGUCAUUUCACCACUCAAGCCUGGCUUGGUGUUGGGCGACGUCCUCUUUGGGGACGCGCCUCGAAACGCUCGGCGGCGUGGCACCGGCUUUAAGCGUAGCAGAAUCUUUCGCUUUGGAAGUCGGGGCCCCGUCUGCCGGAAGACCUGCUCGCAAGGUUGACCUCGGAUCAGGCAGGGAUACCCGCUGAACUUAAGCAUAUCAAUAAGCGGAGGA